AUUGAACGCUGGCGGCAUGCUUUACACAUGCAAGUCGAACGGUAACAGGCCGCAAGGUGCUGACGAGUGGCGAACGGGUGAGUAAUGCAUCGGAACGUGCCCAGUCGUGGGGGAUAACGCAGCGAAAGCUGCGCUAAUACCGCAUACGAUCUAUGGAUGAAAGCGGGGGACCGUAAGGCCUCGCGUGAUUGGAGCGGCCGAUGUCAGAUUAGGUAGUGGGUGGGGUAAAGGGUCACCAAGCCAACGAUCUGUAGCUGGUGUGAGAGGACGACCAGCCACACUGGGACUGAGACACGGCCCAGACUCCUACGGGAGGCAGCAGUGGGGAAUUUUGGACAAUGGGCGCAAGCCUGAUCCAGCAAUGCCGCGUGCAGGAAGAAGGCCUUCGGGUUGUAAACUGCUUUUGUACGGAACGAAACGGUCCUGGUUAAUACCUGGGGCUAAUGACGGUACCGUAAGAAUAAGCACCGGCUAACUACGUGCCAGCCGCCGCGGUAAGAC
rnacentral:rRNA from 1 species